rnacentral:rRNA from 1 species
GAUGAACGCUGGCGGCGUGCUUAACACAUGCAAGUCGAACGAUGAAGCCCAGCUUGCUGGGUGGAUUAGUGGCGAACGGGUGAGUAACACGUGAGUAACCUACCCUUAACUCUGGGAUAAGCCUGGGAAACUGGGUCUAAUACCGGAUAGGAGCGUCCACCGCAUGGUGGGUGUUGGAAAGAUUUAUCGGUUUUGGAUGGACUCGCGGCCUAUCAGCUUGUUGGUGAGGUAAUGGCUCGCCAAGGCGACGACGGGUAGCCGGCCUGAGAGGGUGACCGGCCACACUGGGACUGAGACACGGCCCAGACUCCUACGGGAGGCAGCAGUGGGGAAUAUUGCACAAUGGGCGCAAGCCUGAUGCAGCGACGCCGCGUGAGGGAUGACGGCCUUCGGGUUGUAAACCUCUUUCAGUAGGGAAGAAGCGAAAGUGACGGUACCUGCAGAAGAAGCACCGGCUAACUACGUG